rnacentral:lncRNA from 1 species
AGGGAUAUCAAACACACACGCACACACGCACACACGCACACACGCACACACGCACGCACACGCACACGCACAUGCACACGCAGUCCUCUGUCACACCAUUUUAGUCUCCCGUACGCACGUCCCCACGUUGUCGGCUGGCUACAGUUACAUGACGCGACACCAAACACACACAUAUACACACAUACACACACAUACACACACAUACACACACAUACACACACAUACACACACAUACACACACAUACACACACACCUAAAGCUAGUUUCCAGUCCUGACAUCCCCCCCGGCCACCCCCCCUC